rnacentral:rRNA from 1 species
GAUGAACGCUGGCGGCGUGCCUAAUACAUGCAAGUCGAGCGAACAGACGAGGAGCUUGCUCCUCUGAUGUUAGCGGCGGACGGGUGAGUAACACGUGGAUAACCUACCUAUAAGACUGGGAUAACUUCGGGAAACCGGAGCUAAUACCGGAUAACAUGUUGAACCGCAUGGUUCAACAGUGAAAGACGGUCUUGCUGUCACUUAUAGAUGGAUCCGCGCCGCAUUAGCUAGUUGGUAAGGUAACGGCUUACCAAGGCAACGAUGCGUAGCCGACCUGAGAGGGUGAUCGGCCACACUGGAACUGAGACACGGUCCAGACUCCUACGGGAGGCAGCAGUAGGGAAUCUUCCGCAAUGGGCGAAAGCCUGACGGAGCAACGCCGCGUGAGUGAAGAAGGUCUUCGGAUCGUAAAACUCUGUCAUUAGGGAAGAACAAAUGUGUAAGUAACUAUGCACGUCUUGACGGUACCUAAUCAGAAAGCCACGGCUAACUACGUG